GUCCCUCCCAUUCCCCUUACUCCCCCAAGCUGGCUCUCUCCCAUUCCCCUUACUCCCCCAAGCUGGCUACCAGGGCCUCUGAGAGGAAUUUUAUCAGUGGGUACAAAGUUUCUUUCGGGCCCCCUUGCCUUCUCCAUUAGUCAUCCUGUUUUGAUUCACUACAGUUUUAUGUAAUGAGCCAAAAGGGUAUGGAAGAUGAGAGAGGGGUGGAAUGGAGUGCUCUGUUGAUUUUCUGCAUUUGAUACCUUAUGCCCCUAUACUCCCUCCAUGAUAAAUAUAAAUAUAAAUAAAAGGAUCAGAGAGAAGAAAGCACUUUUAUUUUGAACAUCUUUGUUUAUGCUGCAAUACAGAUAAGGAGAAAUAAUUCACAUUGAAACAUCCUUUUAUAUUUCAAUGCAGAUCAGAUAAUCAGAAGACAUAAUUAUUAGUAAAAAGUAAAACAAGGCUUAGUAUUUACUUUAAAUAAAGAGCUUUUCUGACCUUUUUUUGUGGAAAAAAAUUUGAAUCACAGCAUGAAAAUGUAUUGUUCUGGCAAUGUUUGAUUCAAUACUUAGCCUGGCCAAAUCCACAAGACAUUCCUGAGACAUUGUAGAUCUUUAAUAAUUCUUAAUCAGCUUGAGUGUGCCAAAUGACCUCUCUGCAGAAGCUACUGUUGCUGGAAUUGUGAAUAGUAUUCUUAAGCUAACACAAACAUUUGGAAAGAGAUCACCAAGUCUGUACUCUGUCAACAAGUUCAACAGAUCUAAUGGUUUCUACAGC